CCUACGGGUGGCUGCAGUGAGGAAUAUUGGUCAAUGGGCGUAAGCCUGAACCAGCCAAGUCGCGUGAGGGAUGAAGGUUCUAUGGAUCGUAAACCUCUUUUAUAAGGGAAUAAAGUGUGGGUCGUGUCCUAUUUUGUAUGUACCUUAUGAAUAAGGAUCGGCUAACUCCGUGCCAUCAGCCGCGGUAAUACGGAGGAUCCGAUCGUUAUCCGGAUUUAUUUGGUUUAAAGGGUGCGUAGGCGGCCUUUUAAGUCAGCGGGGAAAGUCUGUGGCUCAACCAUAGAAUUGCCGUUGAAACUGGGGAGCUGGAGUAUGUUUGAGGCAGGCGGAAGUCGUGGUGUAGCGGUGAAAUGCUUAGAUA
rnacentral:rRNA from 1 species